GACUACAGGGGUAUCUAAGCCUGUUUGCUCCCCACGCUUUCGUGCAUGAGCGUCAGUAUCGACCCAGGGGGCUGCCUUCGCCAUCGGUAUUCCUCCACAUAUCUACGCAUUUCACUGCUACACGUGGAAUUCUACCCCCCUCUGCCGUACUCUAGCCUUGCAGUUACAAAUGCAGUUCCCAGGUUAAGCCCGGGGAUUUCACAUCUGUCUUACAAAACCGCCUGCGCACGCUUUACGCCCAGUAAUUCCGAUUAACGCUCGCACCCUACGUAUUACCGCGGCUGCUGGCACGUAGUUAGCCGGUGCUUCUUCUUCCGGUACCGUCAUCCACACAGGGUAUUAUCCCGUGCGUUUUCUUUCCGGCUGAAAGAGCUUUACAACCCGAAGGCCUUCUUCACUCACGCGGCAUGGCUGGAUCAGGCUUGCGCCCAUUGUCCAAAAUUCCCCACUGCAGCCACCCGUAGG
rnacentral:rRNA from 1 species